GGGGAUAUAGCUCAGUUGGUAGAGUGCUUGCUUAGCAUGCACAAGACCCUGGGUUCAAACCCCAGCACCACCG
rnacentral:tRNA from 1 species